UACGUAGGGGCCGAGCGUUGUCCGGAGUUACUGGGCGUAAAGCGCGCGCAGGCGGCUCGUCAAGCCUGACGUGAAAGCCCCCGGCUCAACCGGGGAGGGUCGUCGGGGACUGGCGGGCUUGAGGUCGGCAGGGGCUGGUGGAAUUCCAGGUGUAGCGGUGAAAUGCGUAGAUAUCUGGAGGAACACCGGUGGCGAAGGCGGCAUCCUGGACCGGCAUUGACGCUGAGGCGCGAAAGCUAGGGGAGCAAACGGG
rnacentral:rRNA from 1 species